GACGAACGCUGGCGGCGUGCCUAAUACAUGCAAGUAGAACGCUGAAGGAGGAGCUUGCUUCUCUGGAUGAGUUGCGAACGGGUGAGUAACGCGUAGGUAACCUGCCUGGUAGCGGGGGAUAACUAUUGGAAACGAUAGCUAAUACCGCAUAAGAGUAGAUGUUGCAUGACAUUUGCUUAAAAGGUGCAAUUGCAUCACUACCAGAUGGACCUGCGUUGUAUUAGCUAGUUGGUGGGGUAACGGCUUACCAAGGCGACGAUACAUAGCCGACCUGAGAGGGUGAUCGGCCACACUGGGACUGAGACACGGCCCAGACUCCUACGGGAGGCAGCAGUAGGGAAUCUUCGGCAAUGGACGGAAGUCUGACCGAGCAACGCCGCGUGAGUGAAGAAGGUUUUCGGAUCGUAAAGCUCUGUUGUAAGAGAAGAACGAGUGUGAGGGUGGAAAGUUCACACUGUGACGGUAUCUUACCAGAAAGGGACGGCUAACUACGUG
rnacentral:rRNA from 1 species